rnacentral:pre_miRNA from 1 species
GUAAUACUCCCUCCGUUCGAAAUUACUUGUCGCAGAAAUGGAUGUAUCUAGAUGUAUUUUAGUUCUAGAUACAUCCAUUUCCGAGACAAGUAAUUCCGAACAGAGGGAGUACAAG